CUGAUUGCAACUGAUUGCAACUGCAAUUUAAAUCUAUAGCAGGCAGCAUCCCAUGCUUAUGAAUGAAGUCACAGUUCACACAGAAAUGCUGUACAAUCCAGGGCAGUGUGAUCUGUAAUAAUGUAGUCAUAGAGAGUGGUGCAGAUAUCAAAGACUGCUUAGUUGGGCACAUAUACAUAUAAGCAGUAAAGCAAAACGCGUCAAUGAAAUAAUCAUGGGCAAUGAACAGCUGAUGGAGAUCUAAUGCUGAUGGAGAUCUAAUAAAAGUCCGUUUUGCUUUG